rnacentral:rRNA from 1 species
AGUCGAGCGAGAAUUUUAUUGUUGAAGCUUCGGCCGAUUCAAUAAAAGGAAAGCGGCAAACGGCGUAGUAAUGCGUAGGUACGUACCCUCAGGUCGGGAAUAGCCACGGGAAACUGUGGGUAAUGCCCGAUAAUCUCUGCGGAGCAAAGGUGUGAUUCCGCCUGAGGAGCGGCUUACGUGAUAUUAGCUUGUUGGUGGGGUAAUGGCCUACCAAGGCAACGAUGUCUAGGGGGUGUGAGAGCAUGGCCCCCACGACCGGAACUGAGACACUGUCCGGACACCUACGGGUGGCUGCAGUCGAGAAUCUUCCGCAAUGGGCGAAAGCCUGACGGAGCGACGCCGCGUGCGGGAUGAAGGCCCUUGGGUUGUAAACCGCUGUCAGAGGGGAUGAAAUCAUGGUUGGCUAUCCUUCCAUGUUGACAGAGCCUCAAAGGAAGCACGGGCUAAGUACGUGCCAGCAGCCGCGGUAACACGUACUGUGCGAACGUUAUUCGGAAUCACUGGGCUUAAAGGGUACGUAGGCGGUUUAUCAAGUCAGGUGUGAAAUGCCUGAGCUCAACUGAGGCACUGCGCUUGAAACUGAUAAACUAGAGUAUUCCAGGGGUGUGCGGAACUGCCAGUGGAGCGGUGAAACGCGUUGAUAUUGGCAGGAACACCGGAGGCGAAGGCGGCACACUGGGGGAUAACUGACGCUGAGGUACGAAAGCCAGGGUAGCGAACGGGAUUAGAUACCCCGGUAGUCCUGGCUGUAAACGAUGAGCACUGGGCGAGAGGAAGUUCGCUUCUUUUUGCCGUAGCGAAAGCAUUAAGUGCUCCGCCU